GACAGAGGGUGCAAACGUUGCUCGGAAUUACUGGGCGUAAAGCGCGUGUAGGCGGUUCCGCAAGUCAGGUGUGAAAGCCCAGGGCUCAACCCUGGAAGUGCACUUGAUACUACGGAGCUUGAGUACUGAAGAGGAGAGCGGAAUUCCCGGUGUAGAGGUGAAAUGCGCAGAUAUCAGGAGGAACACCAAUGGCGAAGGCAGAUCUCUGGGCCGUAACUGACGCUGAGGAGCGAAAGCAUGGGGAGCGAACAGG
rnacentral:rRNA from 1 species